rnacentral:lncRNA from 1 species
ACUUCAUACUUUUCAGACCACCAAACAAACAGACCCUUGAAUACUUUCAAUGUUGGUUGGGGUUAUGGCUGCCAGGAUGUUUUCCCAGCCUCUGGCACCCAAUGGCUCCAGACUGUGCCGAGAAAGUUUUUGUUGUUGUUAUUUUGUUUUGUUUUUAUUUUUAUGAAUGGCUUUGGUAGAAAACGCAGACUGAAGCAUAAUACUACCACCAUUCAUAAAAAGGGAAAGGAAACAAACUGCUGUCUGGAAAGCUUUUUGGACGCCAAACAAACUGGAAACCAAGGCAUAGGGAAUUUAAAUAAUCGUCUGAGAUCUUUUUCUAAAACCAAAACAACCCGAGUCUACUGAUUCUCUUAAUCCCUGAUAUAAUGCUCUGAAGAAACCCAGUCUGUUCCUUGAAAAA